GAAUGGGAGGGUGAUCUGGCCGCGACAUCUGUCGCCCUAUUGAUCGCCAGGGUUGAUUUGGCUGAUCUGGCUGGCUAGGUGGGCGUCCCCUUCCUCCUUCACAGCUCCAUGUGUGUCCCUCCCUGACUAUCUUGGCUGCCUCCAUAAACAACUACUACAACAACAAAACACCAGGAUAGGAGCAGAAAGUGUUGUCAGAG
rnacentral:snRNA from 1 species